ACUUGGUUACUUGCCGCGUCAUUAACGUGCUUCCGUCACUUCCCGGAACUAGAUGGGAGUGCUUGAGACGUUAAGGAGAAUGUGCUGAUGAUAUUGGAGAAGCUGUGAGAACCUGACACAGUGCUGGCGUUUGCCAUGAAAGGUUCCAUUGGCUUCAUAUACAACGCUGAUAUCUGUGAUUUGGUGUCGUGACGGGCCGUAAUUAUUCCAGUUGGUGUGCUCUGCGUUUGUAUGACUGCAGUGCUGUCCUGUGUCCAGAUCUGCUUUCAAUCCUGUUUCCAGAUCGGCUUCCAAACCGGUUUCUAAGUUUCUUUUGGUUAUUUUCCUUUUGUGGUUGUUUCAUAUUGUUUUGUCUGUUUUUAGUUUUACAAUGUAUUAUUUUUGAAGUAUUUCAUUUGAAAUUUUGAUUUGAUCCUUUGUUUUGCUGCCUUUCUUCAGUUGCACUUGAUUUCGUAUUGCUUCUGGGGUUUGAACAGUUAAUUUGGAUUGUGAUUUUUUUUUUUUUUUUUUUUUCUUUCUAUCCAACUGUUGGAUUUAGGUUCCAUUUAUAUAAUUUGGUUACAAAGUCUGUCCUUUUUCCUCUUUUACAUUUUAAUUUGUAUUUUGUAGAGAUUGAUUGGAGCAACUAUUUAUUGGUUGUGAAUUUUUAAUUAUUUACUUUUGUUUUUUGAGUUGACUCCGUCUUUAAUGUGACUGUGGUUGAUACCAUAUAUCUUUCUUGGCAGGGCCUGAGCACUUGGGGCGAAGGACUGGUUUUUGGUGGUGGUAUUUCCUUACAAGUGUGCUGUGACCAUCUCGCUGUGUGUGUGGGUGUGUGUAAACAGUGAAGUGCAGUGAUUCACCUAUGAGCGUGGUCUUUUUAUCUGCUUUCCUGUACUAAUAAGCUCUAGUCCCUGUCCCUCAAUUCGUUCAAGGAAGAGAUCUGUAGCUCGUUUGGCUGAAGGUUUCUUUAUUUUAAUGUUUUAAUGAAGAUGUCAAUAAAGAGAACUUUGUUUACA